rnacentral:rRNA from 1 species
UACGUAGGCAGCGAGCGUUGUUCGGAGUUACUGGGCGUAAAGCGUGCGUAGGCGGUGUCUUUAAGUUUGUUGUGAAAUCUCCCGGCUUAACCGGGAGGGUGCGGCGAAUACUGAGAUGCUGGAGUGCCGGAGAGGUAAGCGGAAUUCCUGGUGUAGCGGUGAAAUGCGUAGAUAUCAGGAGGAACACCUGCGGUGUAGACGGCUUACUGGACGGUAACUGACGCUGAGGCACGAAAGCGUGGGUAGCAAACAGG